GAUGAACGCUGGCGGCGUGCCUAAUACAUGCAAGUCGAGCGAACAGACGAGGAGCUUGCUCCUCUGACGUUAGCGGCGGACGGGUGAGUAACACGUGGAUAACCUACCUAUAAGACUGGGAUAACUUCGGGAAACCGGAGCUAAUACUGGAUAAUAUAUUGAACCGCAUGGUUCAAUAGUGAAAGACGGUUUUGCUGUCACUUAUAGAUGGAUCCGCGCCGCAUUAGCUAGUUGGUAAGGUAACGGCUUACCAAGGCAACGAUGCGUAGCCGACCUGAGAGGGUGAUCGGCCACACUGGAACUGAGACACGGUCCAGACUCCUACGGGAGGCAGCAGUGGGGAAUCUUCCGCAAUGGGCGAAAGCCUGACGGAGCAACGCCGCGUGAGUGAUGAAGGUCUUCGGAUCGUAAAACUCUGUUAUUAGGGAAGAACAAAUGUGUAAGUAACUAUGCACGUCUUGACGGUACCUAAUCAGAAAGCCACGGCUAACUACGUG
rnacentral:rRNA from 1 species